rnacentral:rRNA from 1 species
GGGGAAUAUUGGACAAUGGGCGCAAGCCUGAUCCAGCCAUGCCGCGUGAAUGAUGAAGGCCUUAGGGUUGUAAAGUUCUUUCACCGGAGAAGAUAAUGACGGUAUCCGGAGAAGAAGCCCCGGCUAACUUCGUGCCAGCAGCCGCGGUAAUACGAAGGGGGCUAGCGUUGUUCGGAAUUACUGGGCGUAAAGCGCACGUAGGCGGAUAUUUAAGUCAGGGGUGAAAUCCCAGAGCUCAACUCUGGAACUGCCUUUGAUACUGGGUAUCUUGAGUAUGGAAGAGGUGAGUGGAAUUCCGAGUGUAGAGGUGAAAUUCGUAGAUAUUCGGAGGAACACCAGUGGCGAAGGCGGCUCACUGGUCCAUAACUGACGCUGAGGUGCGAAAGCGUGGGGAGCAAAC